GUGAGAGCAUGGCAGGGCUGAGGGGAUGGAGGGGCCAGCAGGGAGCACAGAGGGCUCCGGGACUGCAGCUCUGCCAGGCCUUGGAACCAAUUCCAGAGCCUCCACUUUUGCCACAGCUGUAAUGACCACAAGGACAGCUGGAGACUGCCGGGAGCCAGCAGGGAGAAGCCGAGGGCCAGCAGCAGGAGCAGUGAGCGGGGCCCUGCUGCUGCCAGCCUGGAGAGGGCCCGGAUGUGCCAUCUGCUGUCCCUGGCCAGGAGAUCUUCCAAACUUCAUCUGCAGGCUCAGAAGAACCGGUGUCCUUUGGCCACCCUCAGUUCCCUCUGAAGAUGGGAUCACCUGCAGAGCAGAGGGGACCAGCUGCAGCUCCAGGCCCAGCUCUUGCCGGUCACAGCUGAGCCUGUGGCAAGCUCCAGGAGCUGCUGCCAUCUCCCUCCCUGUUGGUAGCUCACUCCCUCCAGUCCCCAGGCCCUGCCCAUCCACCUUUUUCCCUCCCAGCUCACCCCUUCGCUUUGCCUUCCCUUAUUAAACAGUUUGGCUUUUUCAUUUGA